rnacentral:rRNA from 1 species
UUUAAUUGAAGAGUUUGAUCAUGGCUCAGAUUGAACGCUGGCGGCAGGCCUAACACAUGCAAGUCGAGCGGUAGCACGGGAGAGCUUGCUCUCUGGGUGACGAGCGGCGGACGGGUGAGUAAUGUCUGGGAAACUGCCUGAUGGAGGGGGAUAACUACUGGAAACGGUAGCUAAUACCGCAUAACGUCGCAAGACCAAAGUGGGGGACCUUCGGGCCUCACGCCAUCAGAUGUGCCCAGAUGGGAUUAGCUAGUAGGUGGGGUAAUGGCUCACCUAGGCGACGAUCCCUAGCUGGUCUGAGAGGAUGACCAGCCACACUGGAACUGAGACACGGUCCAGACUCCUACGGGAGGCAGCAGUGGGGAAUAUUGCACAAUGGGCGCAAGCCUGAUGCAGCCAUGCCGCGUGUGUGAAGAAGGCCUUCGGGUUGUAAAGCACUUUCAGCGAGGAGGAAGGGUGGUGUCUUAAUACGGCAUCACAUUGACGUUACUCGCAGAAGAAGCACCGGCUAACUCCGUGCCAGCAGCCGCGGUAAUACGGAGGGUGCAAGCGUUAAUCGGAAUUACUGGGCGUAAAGCGCACGCAGGCGGUUUGUUAAGUCAGAUGUGAAAUCCCCGGGCUCAACCUGGGAACUGCAUUUGAAACUGGCAAGCUAGAGUCUCGUAGAGGGGGGUAGAAUUCCAGGUGUAGCGGUGAAAUGCGUAGAGAUCUGGAGGAAUACCGGUGGCGAAGGCGGCCCCCUGGACGAAGACUGACGCUCAGGUGCGAAAGCGUGGGGAGCAAACAGGAUUAGAUACCCUGGUAGUCCACGCUGUAAACGAUGUCGAUUUGGAGGUUGUGCCCUUGAGGCGUGGCUUCCGGAGCUAACGCGUUAAAUCGACCGCCUGGGGAGUACGGCCGCAAGGUUAAAACUCAAAUGAAUUGACGGGGGCCCGCACAAGCGGUGGAGCAUGUGGUUUAAUUCGAUGCAACGCGAAGAACCUUACCUACUCUUGACAUCCAGAGAACUUUCCAGAGAUGGAUUGGUGCCUUCGGGAACUCUGAGACAGGUGCUGCAUGGCUGUCGUCAGCUCGUGUUGUGAAAUGUUGGGUUAAGUCCCGCAACGAGCGCAACCCUUAUCCUUUGUUGCCAGCGGUUCGGCCGGGAACUCAAAGGAGACUGCCAGUGAUAAACUGGAGGAAGGUGGGGAUGACGUCAAGUCAUCAUGGCCCUUACGAGUAGGGCUACACACGUGCUACAAUGGCAUAUACAAAGAGAAGCGACCUCGCGAGAGCAAGCGGACCUCAUAAAGUAUGUCGUAGUCCGGAUUGGAGUCUGCAACUCGACUCCAUGAAGUCGGAAUCGCUAGUAAUCGUAGAUCAGAAUGCUACGGUGAAUACGUUCCCGGGCCUUGUACACACCGCCCGUCACACCAUGGGAGUGGGUUGCAAAAGAAGUAGGUAGCUUAACCUUCGGGAGGGCGCUUACCACUUUGUGAUUCAUGACUGGGGUGAAGUCGUAACAAGGUAACCGUAGGGGAACCUGCGGUUGGAUCACCUCCUUACCUAAAGA